UAGACAGAAGUCCAGUGGUUUGGGCACCUAGCUGUUAACUAGGAAUUUGUGGGAUCGAGGCCCAUCUGUCUAG
rnacentral:tRNA from 1 species